rnacentral:rRNA from 1 species
ACGCACGCUGGCGGCGUGCCUAAUACAUGCAAGUAGAACGCACAGUUUAUACCGUAGCUUGCUACACCAUAGACUGUGAGUUGCGAACGGGUGAGUAACGCGUAGGUAACCUGCCUGGUAGCGGGGGAUAACUAUUGGAAACGAUAGCUAAUACCGCAUAAUAUUAAUUAUUGCAUGAUAAUUAAUUGAAAGGUGCAAUUGCACCACUACCAGAUGGACCUGCGUUGUAUUAGCUAGUAGGUGAGGUAACGGCUCACCUAGGCGACGAUACAUAGCCGACCUGAGAGGGUGAUCGGCCACACUGGGACUGAGACACGGCCCAGACUCCUACGGGAGGCAGCAGUAGGGAAUCUUCGGCAAUGGACGAAAGUCUGACCGAGCAACGCCGCGUGAGUGAAGAAGGUUUUCGGAUCGUAAAGCUCUGUUGUAAGAGAAGAACGGGUGUGAGAGUGGAAAGUUCACAAUGUGACGGUAUCUUACCAGAAAGAGACGGCUAACUACGUG